CUACUUUGCCCAGAGGAAAUCAAAAUGAAGCACAUGACAGUGACCCGAAAGGGAGAUGAAACUCCUCGACCUGUCCGCAUCCAUGAAAACUUCUUUAAAUGCCCCUUUUGUUCCCCUGAGCUAUACAAACCAGCUGGAUAUCCAAAAAUAGCAACACAUCUUGCCAGUCACAAGCUCAAAGCAAUCAAUCAUAAAGACUACAUUAUAUACAGCUGUGGAUUGGAUUGUGGUGGAAAGGCAAAACACUUUCAUUGUUGUUACUGCUCAAAGACGUAUAUAAAUAAACGGGAAAUGUUAAAGCACUUGGCUCUCC